rnacentral:rRNA from 1 species
GUGGGGAAUCUUGCGCAAUGGGCGAAAGCCUGACGCAGCCAUGCCGCGUGAAUGAUGAAGGUCUUAGGAUUGUAAAAUUCUUUCACCGGGGACGAUAAUGACGGUACCCGGAGAAGAAGCCCCGGCUAACUUCGUGCCAGCAGCCGCGGUAAUACGAAGGGGGCUAGCGUUGCUCGGAAUUACUGGGCGUAAAGGGCGCGUAGGCGGACAGUUUAGUCAGAGGUGAAAGCCCAGGGCUCAACCUUGGAAUUGCCUUUGAUACUGGCUGUCUUGAGUACGGGAGAGGUGAGUGGAACUCCGAGUGUAGAGGUAAAAUUCGUAGAUAUUCGGAAGAACACCAGUGGCGAAGGCGACUCACUGGCCCGUUACUGACGCUGAGGCGCGAAAGCGUGGGGAGCAAACAGGAUUAGAUACCCCUGUAGUCC